rnacentral:rRNA from 1 species
GAACGCUGGCGGCAUGCUUUACACCUGCAAGUCGAACGGCAGCGGGGAGGAGCUUGCUUCUCUGCCGGCGAGUGGCGAACGGGUGAGUAAUACAUCGGAACGUGUCGAGAAGAGGGGGAUAACCACCCGAAAGGGUGGCUAAUACCGCAUAAAUUCUGAGGAAGAAAGCUGGGGACCUAGGAAUAGGCCUAGCGCUUUUUGAGCGGCCGAUGUCGGAUUAGCUAGUUGGUGAGGUAAAGGCUCACCAAGGCGAAGAUCUGUAGCGGGUCUGAGAGGAUGAUCCGCCACACUGGGACUGAGACACGGCCCAGACUCCUACGGGAGGCAGCAGUGGGGAAUUUUGGACAAUGGGGGCAACCCUGAUCCAGCCAUGCCGCGUGUAUGAAGAAGGCCUUAGGGUUGUAAAGUACUUUUGUUAGGGAAGAAAAGUCAGCUGUGAAUAAUGGCUGAUACUGACGGUACCUAAAGAAUAAGCACCGGCUAACUACGUG